rnacentral:rRNA from 1 species
CCUGUUUGAGUGUCAUGA